UCGACUGAGCUCAAGA
rnacentral:rRNA from 1 species